rnacentral:rRNA from 1 species
GAUGAACGCUGGCUACAGGCUUAACACAUGCAAGUCGAGGGGAAACGACGGGGAAGCUUGCUUCCCCGGGCGUCGACCGGCGCACGGGUGAGUAACGCGUAUCCAACCUGCCUCUGACUGAGGGAUAACCCGUCGAAAGUCGGCCUAAUACCUCAUGGUAUCGUCUGCGGGCAUCCAACGACGAUUAAAGAUUUCAUCGGUCAGGGAUGGGGAUGCGUCUGAUUAGCUUGUUGGCGGGGUAACGGCCCACCAAGGCUACGAUCAGUAGGGAUUCUGAGAGGAAGGUCCCCCACAUUGGAACUGAGACACGGUCCAAACUCCUACGGGAGGCAGCAGUGAGGAAUAUUGGUCAAUGGGCGAGAGCCUGAACCAGCCAAGUAGCGUGCAGGAAGACGGCCCUAUGGGUUGUAAACUGCUUUUAUGCGGGGAUAAAGUGAGGGACGUGUCCCUCAUUGCAGGUACCGCAUGAAUAAGGACCGGCUAAUUCCGUG